AAUGAACGCUGGCGGCAGGCCUAACACAUGCAAGUCGAGCGAGCGGCGGACGGGUGAGUAAUGUAUGGGGACUGCCCGAUCGAGGGGGAUAAUUACUGGAAACGGUGGCUAAUACCGCAUACUAUCGGAUAACCCAUAUGGGAUUAGCUAGUAGGUGGGGUAAAGGCUCACCUAGGCGACGAUCUCUAGCUGGUCUGAGAGGAUGAUCAGCCACACUGGGACUGAGACACGGCCCAGACUCCUACGGAGGCAGCAGUGGGGAAUAUUGCGCAAUGGGCGAAAGCCUGAUACAGCCAUGCCGCGUGAAUGAAGAAGGCCUUAGGGUUGUCAAGUACGUUAAGCGGGGAGGCGUUAAACGCAGAAGAAGCAACGGCUAAAUCCGUGCCAGCAGCCGCGGUAAUUC
rnacentral:rRNA from 1 species